rnacentral:lncRNA from 10 species
CGGGAGGAGGAUGAGGUGAUCCACCCGCCUCGGCCUCCCAAAGUGCUGGGAUUACAGACAGGAGCCACCGUGCCCGGCCAAAUUCUUUUUUUGAAGAACUACUUGAAAGCACUAGAAAUUGACCAAAUGCAGACGGUAGCUAGCAGAGAUUUGACCCUCAAAAGAAGAGACAACACUAUUUGGAAACUAAAUUGACAGGGCUUUUCCCUUGAGGGUACCCCCUGGCCCCAGAAGCAGGGGGCAGCUGGCACUCAAGCAGAAGGUCACAAGCUUCUUGGCUUUAAAGAUCAGAAGAGAUAGGUGAGAGCUGAUAUCAAGGGGGUAAUUCCUGGGAAGAACAGAGCCACAGAGAAAGGAGCACCCAAGUCUUUCAUAAACUUCUGCUGUCCAUGGUAAAUCCCUAAACUGCACAUGCACGAAGGAGACAUCAGGAGUCCAGUAGAAAGAGGGUAGGCUGAGAAGCUGAGGAACAUCUGAACUGCUGCCCUCUGUGCGGAAGAGAGUUUGGAGUUUGAACCCCACCAAGCUAGAGGAAACUGGGGAAUGCCUCAGACUUUCCAUGAAAACCCUACAAAAGGACCACAGGUUAGGAGUCAAGACUAUGUCCAAAGACUAACAAUUCAUUCUAAGACUAAAAGCAAAACCAAAACAGAGCAACCCUAAGAAAGACCAAAACCAAGUUUCCAAAAGUUCAAGGACGUCAGUCAGUAAUUUAAUUACCUGCUAGAACAAAAAUUAAGACUUCAAAUAAAUACUCUGAAUACAAUCUUUAUAACAUAAUAUCCACAACAUCCAGUAUAAAAUCAAAACAUACUGGACAUGCGGGGGCUGGAGAGGUGACCUACACUCAAGAAAAAUAUCGUGAGUAGAAAGUGACCUGGAGAUGAUAUAAAUGUUGGAAUUAGCAGACAUGAGUUUUAAAGCAGCUAUUAUAAAUAUGUUUAGAGACUUUUCAAAAAGAUGGCCAAAGAGGCUGGGCACAAUGGCUCAGGUCUGUAAUCCCAGCACUUUGGGAGGCCAAGGUGGGCAGGUCACUUGAGAUCAGAAAUUCAAGAUGAGCCUGACCAACAUGAUCAAACCCUGAC